rnacentral:rRNA from 1 species
AACGAACGCUGGCGGCAGGCCUAACACAUGCAAGUCGAGCGCCCGCAAGGGGAGCGGCGACGGGUGAGUAACGCGUGGGAACGUGCCUCUUGCUACGGAAUAGCCUCGGGAAACUGGGAGUAAUACCGUAUGUGCCCUACGGGGGAAAGAUUUAUCGGCAAGAGAUCGGCCCGCGUUGAAUUAGGUAGUUGGUGGGGUAAUGGCCUACCAAGCCGACGAUCCAUAGCUGGUUUGAGAGGAUGAUCAGCCACACUGGGACUGAGACACGGCCCAGACUCCUACGGGAGGCAGCAGUGGGGAACCUUAGACAAUGGGCGCAAGCCUGAUCUAGCCAUGCCGCGUGAGCGAUGAAGGCCUUAGGGUUGUAAAGCUCUUUCAGUGGGGAAGAUAAUGACUGUACCCACAGAAGAAGCCCCGGCUAACUCCGUG